rnacentral:rRNA from 1 species
UACGUAGGGUGCAAGCGUUGUCCGGAAUUAUUGGGCGUAAAGAGCUCGUAGGCGGUCUGUCGCGUCGAAUGUGAAAACCCGGGGCUCAACCCCGGGCCUGCAUUCGAUACGGGCAGACUAGAGUUCGGUAGGGGAGUCUGGAAUUCCUGGUGUAGCGGUGAAAUGCGCAGAUAUCAGGAGGAACACCGGUGGCGAAGGCGGGACUCUGGGCCGGUACUGACGCUGAGGAGCGAAAGCAUGGGGAGCGAACAGG